GGGUUGUGAGGUUAAGCGACUAAGCGUACACGGUGGAUGCCCUGGCAGUCAGAGGCGAUGAAGGACGUGCUAAUCUGCGAAAAGCGUCGGUAAGGUGAUAUGAACCGUUAUAACCGGCGAUGUCCGAAUGGGGAAACCCAGUGCAAUUCGUUGCACUAUCGUUAACUGAAUACAUAGGUUAACGAGGCGAACCGGGGGAACUGAAACAUCUAAGUACCCCGAGGAAAAGAAAUCAACCGAGAUUCCCCCAGUAGCGGCGAGCGAACGGGGAGCAGCCCAGAGUCUGAAUCAGCUUGUGUGUUAGUGGAACGGUCUGGAAAGUCCGACGGUACAGGGUGAUAGUCCCGUACACCAAAAUGCACAGGUUGUGAACUCGAAGAGUAGGGCGGGACACGUGGUAUCCUGUCUGAAUAUGGGGGGACCAUCCUCCAAGGCUAAAUACUCCUGACUGACCGAUAGUGAACCAGUACCGUGAGGGAAAGGCGAAAAGAACCCCGGCGAGGGGAGUGAAAAAGAACCUGAAACCGUGUACGUACAAGCAGUGGGAGCACCUUCGGGUGUGACUGCGUACCUUUUGUAUAAUGGGUCAGCGACUUAUAUUCUGUAGCAAGGUUAACCGUAUAGGGGAGCCGCAGGGAAACCGAGUCUUAACUGGGCGUUAAGUUGCAGGGUAUAGACCCGAAACCCGGUGAUCUAGCCAUGGGCAGGUUGAAGGUUGGGUAACACUAACUGGAGGACCGAACCGACUAAUGUUGAAAAAUUAGCGGAUGACUUGUGGCUGGGGGUGAAAGGCCAAUCAAACCGGGAGAUAGCUGGUUCUCCCCGAAAGCUAUUUAGGUAGCGCCUCGUGA
rnacentral:rRNA from 1 species